rnacentral:rRNA from 1 species
GUGGGGAAUAUUGGACAAUGGGCGCAAGCCUGAUCCAGCCAUGCCGCGUGAGUGAUGAAGGCCUUAGGGUUGUAAAGCUCUUUCAGUGGGGACGAUAAUGACGGUACCCACAGAAGAAGCCCCGGCUAACUUUGUGCCAGCAGCCGCGGUAAUACGAAGGGGGCUAGCGUUGUUCGGAUUUACUGGGCGUAACGCGCACGUAGGCGGAUCGUUAAGUCGGGGGUGAAAUCCUGGAGCUCAACUCCAGAACUGCCUUCGAUACUGGCGAUCUUGUGUCCGGUAGAGGUGAGUGGAACUCCGAGUGUAGAGGUGGAAUUCGUAGAUAUUAGGAAGAACACCAGUGGCGAAGGCGGCUCACUGGUCCGGUACUGACGCUGAGGUGCGAAAGCGUGGGGAGCAAACAGGAUUAAAAACCCCGGUAGUCC